rnacentral:pre_miRNA from 1 species
UAGUACUCAUUGACUCAGUCGAUAUGUUUUAUUUAUCUAUCACUGGUUUUGUGAUUACUAAU